UACGGGGGGGGCAAGCGUUGUUCGGAAUUACUGGGCGUAAAGGGUUCGUAGGUGGCCUGCUAAGUCAAACGUGAAAUCCCUCAGCUUAACUGGGGAACUGCGUCUGAGACUGGUGGGCUUGAGUGCAGGAGAGGAACGCAGAAUUCCAGGUGUAGCGGUGAAAUGCGUAGAUAUCUGGAGGAACACCGGUGGCGAAGGCGGCGUUCUGGACUGCUACUGACACUGAGGAACGAAAGCCAGGGGAGCAAACGGG
rnacentral:rRNA from 1 species